rnacentral:rRNA from 1 species
UACGAAGGGGGCUAGCGUUGUUCGGAAUUACUGGGCGUAAAGCGCGCGCAGGCGGUCUUCCAAGUCAGUGGUGAAAGCCCGGAGCUCAACUCCGGAACUGCCAUUGAAACUGUUAGACUUGAGGAUGAGAGAGGUGAGUGGAAUUCCCAGUGUAGAGGUGAAAUUCGUAGAUAUUGGGAAGAACACCGGUGGCGAAGGCGGCUCUCUGGACCGAGACUGACGCUGAGGCACGAAAGCGUGGGGAGCAAACAGG